GGCCUAACACAUGCAAGUCGAGGGGUAUAUUUCUUCGGAGAUAGAGACCGGCGCACGGGUGCGUAACGCGUAUGCAAUCUGCCUUUUACAGAGGGAUAGCCCAGAGAAAUUUGGAUUAAUACCUCAUAGUAUUACAGGAUGGCAUCGUCCAGUAAUUAAAGUCACAACGGUGAAAGAUGAGCAUGCGUCCCAUUAGCUAGUUGGUAAGGUAACGGCUUACCAAGGCAACGAUGGGUAGGGGUCCUGAGAGGGAGAUCCCCCACACUGGUACUGAGACACGGACCAGACUCCUACGGGAGGCAGCAGUGAGGAAUAUUGGUCAAUGGGCGCAAGCCUGAACCAGCCAUGCCGCGUGCAGGAUGACGGUCCUAUGGAUUGUAAACUGCUUUUGUACGAGAAGAAACACUGAUUCGUGAAUCAGCUUGACGGUAUCGUAAGAAUAAGGAUCGG
rnacentral:rRNA from 1 species